GACGGGCGGCGUGCUAUACUGCAAGUUGAACGCAACAAAGACACCAGAGCUUGCUCUACCGUCUUUGUUGAGUAGCGAACGGGUGAGUAACGCGUGGGUAACCUGCCUUAUAGCGGGGGAUAACUAUUGGAAACGAUAGCUAAUACCGCAUAACAAUAGAGAUUGCAUAAUCUUUAUUUGAAAGUGCCAACUGGUACACUAUGAGAUGGACCCGCGUUGUAUUAGCUAGUUGGUAGUGUAAUGGACUACCAAGGCGAUGAUACAUAGCCGACCUGAGAGGGUGAUCGGCCACAUUGGGACUGAGACACGGCCCAAACUCCUACGGGAGGCAGCAGUAGGGAAUCUUCGGCAAUGGACGAAAGUCUGACCGAGCAACGCCGCGUGAGUGAAGAAGGUUUUCGGAUCGUAAAACUCUGUUGUUAGAGAAGAAUGUUGAUUAGAGUGGAAAAUUAAUCAAGUGACGGUAUCUAACCAGAAAGGGACGGCUAACUACGUGCCAGCAGCCGCGGUAAUACGUAGGUCCCGAGCGUUGUCCGGAUUUAUUGGGCGUAAAGCGAGCGCAGGUGGUUUAAUAAGUCUGAUGUAAAAGGCAGUGGCUCAACCAUUGUGUGCAUUGGAAACUGUUAGACUUGAGUGCAGUAGAGGAGAGUGGAAUUCCAUGUGUAGCGGUGAAAUGCGUAGAUAUAUGGAGGAACACCGGUGGCGAAAGCGGCUCUCUGGACUGUCACUGACACUGAGGCUCGAAAGCGUGGGUAGCAAACAGGAUUAGAUACCCUGGUAGUCCACGCCGUAAACGAUGAGUGCUAGUUUGUUUGGGGCUAUCCAGCCCUAAGUGACGCAGCAAACGCAUUAAGCACUCCGCCUGGGGAGUACGACCGCAAGGUUGAAACUCAAAGGAAUUGACGGGGGCCCGCACAAGCGGUGGAACAUGUGGUUUAAUUCGAAGCAA
rnacentral:rRNA from 1 species